AAUUUCAGCUGAAAAAGUCAUGAACAUGAAAGUUGUAGAGCUCAUCAAGACAUACAACUUUUAUUUUGGUCAUUUCUUCAUCCGAUAAAUUGAUAAUAAUAUUGUUCACAAAGUUUACAUAUCUCUCUUAUAGUUUAUAGAACCAAAUGAGAUAGAUGCAAAUUUUGUGAACAAUGUUACUAUCACUUUGUCGGAUGAAAAAAUGACCAAAAUAAAAGUUAUAGAUCUUGAUGAAUUAUAUAACUUUGUUGUUGAUGACUUUUUCAGUUGAAAUC
rnacentral:pre_miRNA from 1 species